rnacentral:tRNA from 1 species
GGUUUGUAGCUCAGUGGUAGAGUGCUUGCCUUGCAUGCAUGAAGCAUUGUGUUUGAUCCUCAGCACCA